GUGAAAUUGUUGAAAGGGAAACGAUUGAAGUCAGUCGUACUUACGAGUAAUCAACCUUUUAGGUGCGAUCUUGUGGGCAUUUAAGAGUUAACUCCUUUAUGUUCUCAAGUUUGUGCUUUUGGACGUACUUGCUCGUACGUAGGUUAACAUCAAUUUCGGUCGUUAUAAAAUGACCAGAGGAAAUGUAGCUUCGAUCUCGUGUUGAAGUGUAAACUCCGGUAGAUGUAAUGAUCGGGAUUGAGGAUUGCAACGAAUACCCUUCGGGCUAUCCGUCUGGUCUCUGACUAUCGCUUUGGUGCCGAAAGCUUGCUUACGGUUAUCGAGGUUGGUAGUCAAUAGGUUAGAGCGGAUUAAAUUCGUUAAGGAUGUUGACGUAAUGGCUUUAAACGAC
rnacentral:rRNA from 1 species